AGGUAGGUUUUUGUUAGCCCAAGCCUUUAUUUGUUGAGGGGAAAGAACCCCCAGUGGGUAGUGAAAUAGAACGUGAAACCGUGCUGAGCUCCCAAGCAGUGGGAGGGGAAAGUGAUCUCUGACCGCAUGCCUGUUGAAGAAUGAGCCGGCGACUCAUAGGCAGUGGCUUGGUUAAGGGAACGGAACCCACCGGAGCCGUAGCGAAAGCAAGUCUUAAUAGGGCGAUUAUCACUGCUUAUGGACCCGAACCUGGGUGAUCUAUCCAUGACCAGGAUGAAGCUUGGAUGAAACUAAGCAGAGGUCUGUACCGACUGAUGUUGAAGAAUCAGCGGAUGAGUUGUGGUUAGGGGUGAAAUGCCACUCGAACCCAGAGCUAGCUGGUUCUCCCCGAAAUGCGUUGAGGCGCAGCAGUUGACUGGACAUCUAGGGGUAAAGCACUGUUCUUGGAUUACCUCUAGAGAUAGCAAUAAAGCUUUUUCAGCUAUUUGUAAUUCGCGAUUUAAUCACGAAAAGCUCCACUUCUAAUGUAAGGAUUGCUAAAAGGAAAAUUUGGGCUCAUCCGUGGUGGCAUCCUCGAUGGCACCAUCAGUAGUGUCAUCCCCGACGCCACUAGGGGUUGUUUAGUCGGGAUCGGUGUCUUCCGCGUCGUCCACAUAGCGGUGAGGUUCUUCCUCCAUCUCCUAGGACAGCUCCCAGAAUUGCUUGCCCGAACCGCCGGCCUCAUCGUUGUUGGCCAUGUUCGCUCUAAAUAGGAAAAAAGGCUACUAGAGUUAUUUCUUAAAUACAGUCUAGGAAAAAAUAAAUCCACAAGUCAAUAUAUCAGGACCCAUCACAUCUUCAUAGACUCGAUGGGGCCUCAAAUGCCCUUCCUCAUCUACAACUAGUUGUCCGCCUCAAUCGAUGGAUUUUCUCACAUUUUUCUGAUUCAAACUAGAUUUCGAUGGCUGUUAGGUUAUUCGGCAUGUAAUCUAAAAUAAUUAGAAAGUAUAGGUUGUUUCUACUGUAAUGCAUUAUUGACUUGUUAUUUGUGAGAACCAAAAGAAAGCCAACUGAUACGUCUCCAACGUAUCUAUAAUUUUUGAUUGCUCCAUGCUAUAUUAUCUACUGUUUUGGACAUUAUUGGGCUUUAUUAUCCACUUUUAUAUUAUUUUUGGGACUAACCUAUUAACCAGAGGCCCAGCCCAGAAUUGCUGUUUUUUUGCCUAUUUUAGGGUUUCGAAGAGAAGGAAUAUCAAACGGAGUCCAAACGGAAUGAAACCUUCGGAAACACGAUUUUCUCAUCAGAUAAGACCCAGGAGACUUGGACCCUCCGUCAAGAAAGCCACGAGGCAGUCACGAGGGUGGAGGGCACCCCCCUAGGGCGCGCCCCCUGCCUCGUGGGCCCCUCGAAGCUCCACCGACGUACUUCUUCCUCCUAUAUAUAUCCACGUACCCCCAAACGAUCAGAUACGGAGCCAAAAACCUAAUUCCACCACCGCAACUUUCUGUAUCCACGAGAUCCCAUCUUGGGGCCUGUUCCGGAGCUCCGCCCGAGGGGGCAUCGAUCACGGAGGGCUUCUACAUCAUCAUCCAAGCCCUUCCGAUGAAGUGUGAGUAGUUUACUUCAGACCUGCGGGUCCAUAGUUAGUAGCUAGAUGGCUUCUUCUCUCUUUUUGGAUCUCAAUACAAUGUUCUCCCCCUCUCUUGUGGAGAUCUAUUCAAUGUAAUAUUCUUUUUGCGGUGUGUUCGUUGAGACCGAUGAAUUGUGGGUUUAUGAUCAAGUCUAUCUAUGAAUAAUAUUUGAAUCUUCUCUGAAUUCUUUUAUGUAUGAUUGGUUAUCUUUGCAAGUCUCUUCGAAUUAUCAGUUUGGUUUGGCCUACUAGAUUGGUUUUUCUUGCCAUGGGAGAAGUGCUUAGCUUUGGGUUCGAUCUUGUGGUGUCCUUUCCC
rfam:Triticum aestivum genome assembly, contig: Triticum_aestivum_CS42_TGACv1_scaffold_376682_5AL